rnacentral:rRNA from 1 species
UACGAAGGGUGCAAACGUUGCUCGGAAUCAUUGGGCGUAAAGCGCACGUAGGCGGCUUGCCAAGUCGGACGUGAAAUCCCUCAGCUCAACUGAGGACGUGCAUCCGAAACUGGCGAGCUUGAGUACUGAAGAGGAUCGCGGAAUUCCCGGUGUAGAGGUGAAAUUCGUAGAUAUCGGGAGGAACACCAGUGGCGAAGGCGGCGAUCUGGGCAGAUGCUGACGCUGAGGUGCGAAAGCGUGGGGAGCAAACAGG